rnacentral:ncRNA from 1 species
GCCCCGACCACUCCACUUUCUGGCCGGACACGCUGUGAAAAAAGGAGGAUGAAAACGCCCCGGCUCGGGCUGCGGCAGUGUGGAGACCUGUCGUAAAAGCAGCGCCACGCAAGUGGGCUGUGAGGGCACAUUUGGCGGAGGCCGUGUGUCCGGAGUCGAAAUUAUGGCA